rnacentral:lncRNA from 1 species
AUCCAGAAAAGAGAGAGGAGAUUUAUUCAUAUCAACAUAAAGUUUGAUUUAUUCUAAACCAUCAUCAAAUCGUAAAACAUAUAUAGAAUAGAAGGAAAGCAUAUUACAUAAUUGAUAUAACUCUAGCAGAGCUAGAGUAAAACUAUAUGUCAAAUGCAGCCGCUGCUUCAAUAUCCUGGUGGUGGCGGCGGUGGUACACGAGGAGGAGGGCUUUUGAACUGAACAGGAACAUUGGGCCUAGGAGAUGGUGGCCAAGAUUUAGAUACCCUUCUGGACACAAUCUUUAAUUUAUGAGGGAAAUAUUGAGAAGAAUAUUCACCGGAAACAACUUCAGUACUAGCCAUGGCCAUCAGAAUAGUUUGUGAAAGAACCAAGCUAUUGAUCAAGAUGAAAGUAAUAAGCAAGCAUGAAUAUUUGACCUCCAUCGGUUACUAUGAUCAUUCCUGUAGGUACACACCUAAGCAUUUGUGGCUUAUAUAAAUACUACAUGUGGUAGCCAGCUUGAUUAAUUUCAAGACUUUUUCAACCAGAUAUGAGUUGUUG